rnacentral:rRNA from 1 species
UACGUAGGGUGCAAGCGUUGUCCGGAAUUAUUGGGCGUAAAGAGCUCGUAGGCGGUCUGUCGCGUCGGCUGUGAAAACCCGGGGCUCAACCCCGGGCCUGCAGUCGAUACGGGCAGACUAGAGUGCGGUAGGGGAGAACGGAAUUCCUGGUGUAGCGGUGAAAUGCGCAGAUAUCAGGAGGAACACCGGUGGCGAAGGCGGGUCUCUGGGCCGAUACUGACGUGAGGAGCGAAAGCGUGGGGAGCGAACAGG